AAAUUGAAGAGUUUGAUCAUGGCUCAGAUUGAACGCUGGCGGCAGGCCUAACACAUGCAAGUCGAGCGGUAGCACAGAGAGCUUGCUCUCGGGUGACGAGCGGCGGACGGGUGAGUAAUGUCUGGGAAACUGCCUGAUGGAGGGGGAUAACUACUGGAAACGGUAGCUAAUACCGCAUAACGUCGCAAGACCAAAGUGGGGGACCUUCGGGCCUCAUGCCAUCAGAUGUGCCCAGAUGGGAUUAGCUAGUAGGUGGGGUAACGGCUCACCUAGGCGACGAUCCCUAGCUGGUCUGAGAGGAUGACCAGCCACACUGGAACUGAGACACGGUCCAGACUCCUACGGGAGGCAGCAGUGGGGAAUAUUGCACAAUGGGCGCAAGCCUGAUGCAGCCAUGCCGCGUGUGUGAAGAAGGCCUUCGGGUUGUAAAGCACUUUCAGCGGGGAGGAAGGCGUUAAGGUUAAUAACCUUGGCGAUUGACGUUACCCGCAGAAGAAGCACCGGCUAACUCCGUGCCAGCAGCCGCGGUAAUACGGAGGGUGCAAGCGUUAAUCGGAAUUACUGGGCGUAAAGCGCACGCAGGCGGUCUGUCAAGUCGGAUGUGAAAUCCCGGGCUCAACCGGGAACUGCAUUCGAAACUGGCAGGCUAGAGUCUUGUAGAGGGGGGUAGAAUUCCAGGUGUAGCGGUGAAAUGCGUAGAGAUCUGGAGGAAUACCGGUGGCGAAGGCGGCCCCCUGGACAAAGACUGACGCUCAGGUGCGAAAGCGUGGGGAGCAAACAGGAUUAGAUACCCUGGUAGUCCACGCCGUAAACGAUGUCGAUUUGGAGGUUGUGCCCUUGAGGCGUGGCUUCCGGAGCUAACGCGUUAAAUCGACCGCCUGGGGAGUACGGCCGCAAGGUUAAAACUCAAAUGAAUUGACGGGGGCCCGCACAAGCGGUGGAGCAUGUGGUUUAAUUCGAUGCAACGCGAAGAACCUUACCUGGUCUUGACAUCCACAGAACUUUCCAGAGAUGGAUUGGUGCCUUCGGGAACUGUGAGACAGGUGCUGCAUGGCUGUCGUCAGCUCGUGUUGUGAAAUGUUGGGUUAAGUCCCGCAACGAGCGCAACCCUUAUCCUUUGUUGCCAGCGGUUCGGCCGGGAACUCAAAGGAGACUGCCAGUGAUAAACUGGAGGAAGGUGGGGAUGACGUCAAGUCAUCAUGGCCCUUACGACCAGGGCUACACACGUGCUACAAUGGCAUAUACAAAGAGAAGCGACCUCGCGAGAGCAAGCGGACCUCAUAAAGUAUGUCGUAGUCCGGAUUGGAGUCUGCAACUCGACUCCAUGAAGUCGGAAUCGCUAGUAAUCGUAGAUCAGAAUGCUACGGUGAAUACGUUCCCGGCCUUGUACACACCGCCCGUCACACCAUGGGAGUGGGUUGCAAAAGAAGUAGGUAGCUUAACCUUCGGGAGGGCGCUUACCACUUUGUGAUUCAUGACUGGGGUGAAGUCGUAACAAGGUAACCGUAGGGGAACCUGCGGUUGGAUCACCUCCUUACCUUAAAGAA
rnacentral:rRNA from 1 species